UCAUCAAGGGAACCAUGACCACAACCCACUCGUACACCGGCGACCAGAGGCUGCUCGACGCGAGCCACCGCGACCUGCGCCGUGCCCGCGCCGCCGCCCUCAACAUAGUGCCGACCUCCACCGGCGCGGCCAAGGCCGUGGCGCUGGUGCUCCCCAACCUCAAGGGCAAGCUCAACGGGAUCGCGCUCCGGGUGCCCACCCCCAACGUGUCCGUCGUCGACCUCGUGGUGCAGGUCUCCAAGAAGACCCUCGCCGAGGAGGUGAACCAGGCGUUCCGCGACGCCGCCGCCAACGAGCUCAAGGGCAUCCUCGACGUCUGCGACGAGCCCCUCGUGUCCGUCGACUUCAGGUGCUCCGACGUCUCCUCCACCAUCGACGCGUCGCUCAGCAUGGUCAUGGGAGACGACAUGGUCAAGGUCAUUGCAUGGUACGACAACGAGUGGGGUUACUCCCAGAGGGUCGUCGACCUCGCCGACAUCGUCGCCAACCAAUGGAAGUGAACGCCCCCCCACAGCGGCAUUGCCCUGUCAAGUGACUCCUCUCGAAAUUUUCCCCAGCCGUCGUCACGGAUGAUCGAUUCUUUGUAAUGAGAAUUCAAAGUAUCGAGCUCCCAACACCUUCUUCCUUUUUCUUUCUUUUCUUCUUUUCUCUUUCUCUGAUUUUUCAGUGUCCAGACACGGAUUAUAAUAGGCUUCCUGCAAAGGAAGUCUCAACGCUGUGCAUCUGUAAUACUCGUAUAUACUACUAUCGUUUGCCAGAUUCUGAUGUAGAAUUCAACUCGCUCUUCGAACCGUUUGAGCAAUUUGACCUUUAUUAUUGCUAUAUCUAAACAUGCAUGAUCAACUCAGAGACAAAGAAAAGUUUGAACCAUAUACACGAAAGUUACCAUAAAAUAAAAGGUUUGAACUUCUGAUGGCAAUUGCAAAAUUUAAGGGAGCACAACCAUGCAGCUCAUUAUCAGAGUUUCUCCGCUUUUUUAAAAAAAUAUAUCAAAGUUUCUCAUUUUUUGCGAAACCUCAUUAUCAGAGUUAUCCAAACAAAUUGACCCACAAGAUAAGAGAUUGUGAUCAGCGCGCUGAGCCUAGUUGGAUGAUCCAAACAAAUUGACCCACAAGAUAAGAGAUUGUGAUCAGCGCGCUGAGCCUAGUUGGAUGAUCCAAACAAAUUGACCCACAAGAUAAGAGAUUGUGAUCAGCGCGCUGAGCCUAGUUGGAUGAUGGCCUGAACUACUUAGAGAGUAGACCCAGCUUUUGUGAGUCGUAUUUCGUUGGACAUCAUGGUUCACAUGUUUGCCAUCCUAUAUCCUUGCUGCCAAUCGCAGUGUGUGAGUGGUCAAGAAUAUAUGGAACCCAUGAGGGAUAAGUAUUGCAGACCAUACAAUGCACAGACCACAGAGGGUGUCUUUCCACUCUGAAGCACUCAUAUGGAUCAAAACAUCUCGAAUCUCUAUACCCAAAUGGCCCAUGUUUGAAGAUAUUCAGAAUUCAGAGUUGAUCUCUCUCUACUCAAUGCCCCAUGACGACAUAUGCGGUCCUUAUCGAUGAAAUAGCAAGUACUAAGAACCAUUAAGUAAAUUCUAGAAGCUAACAUGAUAUAUUGAACUUCAACCAGAGUUCUUUGGAUGACACUACAUACGCCAAGUGAUAGUAUUUUCAGGGGGAAAAAAAAUCGCUACUCUAAAGGAAAAUUCAGAGACAGCACUAGUUUUUGCUUAAGGAAAAUACAUUCCCCAAACACUCCCUUGCAGAACAUUUUUUCUAGAAUCACUCUAGCACUGAGAUGUUACCCUCUCUGCUUCAGCCGCUGCCAUUGAAAAGGUUCCAAUCAUGGACAUCAAAGUUCAUCACUGCAAGCCUGAAGACCUCGGACAUUGGCAUGCAUCCUGCUUGUUCUGCCGGUAUGGCUGGUCCAGCUGCAACUGCCUGGGCACUUUCACUCAAAGGACUGAAAUAAAAAUGACAGAAAAAUAUAUCAUUCAAGGGGCGGCCUGUAACAUUGGAGAAGUGGGAAGCACAAACAUAAUACCCAGGCUUAAAAUAAAGGCAUCAAUAGCCUAGCUAGUCGUUAAUUUGGAUAUGUAAGUCCAUACUAAUUUUACUUGCUUUCACUAAGAUGUAAUACGACUAUCUCCACAUUACUUGUGAUGCAUCGUUAUACUGUUUCAUCUGCAUUUUAGCUGAAACAUAUAAUCUAGUUUCGGCAUUUUGGUCUCCCCGUAGUACUACUGCCACCCGGCAGUCUCGGGGGGAGGGGCAAAUUAUCAAAUUGAGAAGUAAAGUGGGGCAAAAGAUCCAAUUUCUCUAGUACUAUUAUAGCAUUCAACAUGACUAGCCUAGGUAGAAAACUGAAGGAACUACAUGAGGACCUGAGCACAACAGGCUUCUGUUUCAUCAACCGAGAAGUGUUUUUUUUUUUUCAGUUUAGUUCUGCCCUUGGCCAUACUACUACGAUAAUACAACUUUAUUCAACAUGUGUAGCCUAGAUAAAGAACUAAAAAAAAUAUUCAGCAGGGCAGGAUUGUCGUUCUGUAUUACNNNNNNNNNNNNNNNNNNNNNNNNNNNNNNNNNNNNNNNNNNNNNNNNNNNNNNNNNNNNNNNNNNNNNNNNNNNNNNNNNNNNNNNNNNNNNNNNNNNNAAGCUUCACCCAACAUGAACCGGCCCGGCGCUGUACGAGAAAAAGGCAGCAGCCAAUGCUGCCUUGCCCUCCCAUGUGCCAACGGCCGGCAAUCCGCUCGUGUCACCUUUGUCGCCGUUGGUCGCGUGAUUAUGCUCCGUUAGCUGCGUAAUAACCACAAGGAGCUUCGGCGGCGGCACUUGAGCCUGUGAUGACUACGCGGAGUGUAUGACUGGAAGUGACAAUGCAUGCACAAGAUGAGUCCAGGCGACGAUAAUGACUCGCAACAGAAAGGGAGAUGCCAACGGCCCAGCGCCACUCGCUGAAUUGGACGGCCUUGGUUUGGUCGCUCGCUUUUCAAUUCACAAGGCCGAAAAAAGCAUCACACAAUUCACAAGACCGAAAAGCAUCGCAAUUCACAACUUCAUUCAGAAAAUCAGAGCGGACGCACACCAAAAUCCAAUCCUAAUAAUACCGUCCAGUUCUCAUCACCGGACAUAAGCCACGCGCCGGUCAGUCGAGGAUGUCGCACUGCCGCCUGACGACGCCCUGCCGCCCCGUCUUGACGCCGACGGUGCCGAGCUUCUGCAUGGCCUUGGCGAAGUCCUGGAAGAACGCGGUCCGGUUGUCGGCGUACUGCUGGACGAACACCUUGGUGGGCGGGUACUCCCACAGCGCGGCGUCGGAGGCGAGCAGCCCGAGGCCCCGGGGCAGGUUCUUGAAGUAGAGCUCGUCGAAGUCCCGCGGCGUCACGAUGUCGUUGAAGAUGGAGAUGUCCGGGUUGCUCUCGUAGCCGGCGCAGGAGCUCUGCAGCGCCCGCGCGAACUCCGGGUUCAGCGAGGGGUCGUGCCCGCCGGCGGCGCCGCCUGCGCCCUUGUAGUUGUACACCCGGUGCGCGAACUCGGAGCAGUGGGAGAAGCCCACGGUGUGGGCGCCCGCCAGCGCCACCAUCUCCUGCGGCGUGAUGCCCUUGCGCGCGAACAGGACCGUCAUGGCCCGCGCCGACAUGUUGGUGCGCGGGAGGUUGCCCUCCACGUCGCGCGCGUCGGAGCGGCGCGCGUCGCGGCGGCCGAGGAAGACGGGGAACCGCGGCCCGCCGAGGAUCCCCACCAGGUCGCGCGCCGCCAGCGCGAGGAUGUCGGCGCCGGAGACCGAGCCCGGGCGGGCGUACCCCGGCGCGGACCUGUGCUCGGCCCACCGGCCUCAAGCGCGCCGCCCGAGGGCGGCGGCGUGNNNNNNNNNNNNNNNNNNNNNNNNNNNNNNNNNNNNNNNNNNNNNNNNNNNNNNNNNNNNNNNNNNNNNNNNNNNNNNNNNNNNNNNNNNNNNNNNNNNNUCCACGUCUUAUGCUAGCGCCAGGGUGGAAGACACCUACUUGUUUAUCCUUGGAGUCCUACUGGUUCGAUAAACCUUACAGUCUCUAUGUGAGGGAAAUGUGUUGCUGACUACAUUUCCACCUUCCACUUGGGGUAACCAACGAGGGGUGAGAAGUAUAUCCAUCAACUCGUCAUCAAGCAGAUUUCUGGCGCCGUUGCCGGGAACUCCAGUCUUCAAGAUAGGGGAGUUGCACACUAUCCUUUACCUUUUCUUUUU
rnacentral:lncRNA from 1 species